AACGAACGCUGGCGGCGCGCCUAAUACAUGCAAGUCGAGCGAGAAGACGUAGCAAUACGUUUGUAAAGCGGCGAACGGGUGAGGAAUACAUGGGUAACCUACCCUCGAGUGGGGAAUAACUAGCCGAAAGGUUAGCUAAUACCGCGUACGCUCCUUGGACUUCGGUUCAGGGAGGAAAGCGAUACCGUGGGUAUCGCGCUCUUGGAUGGGCUCAUGUCCUAUCAGCUUGUUGGGAGGUAACGGCUCACCAAGGCUUCGACGGGUAGCUGGUCUGAGAGGACGAUCAGCCACACUGGCACUGCGACACGGGCCAGACUCCUACGGGAGGCAGCAGUAAGGAAUAUUGCGCAAUGGGCGAAAGCCUGACGCAGCGACGCCGCGUGGGGGAUGAAGGUCUUCGGAUUGUAAACCCC
rnacentral:rRNA from 1 species